rnacentral:rRNA from 1 species
AACCUUACCUACUCUUGACAUCCAGAGAACUUUGCAGAGAUGGAUUGGUGCCUUCGGGAACUCUGAGACAGGUGCUGCAUGGCUGUCGUCAGCUCGUGUUGUGAAAUGUUGGGUUAAGUCCCGCAACGAGCGCAACCCUUAUCCUUUGUUGCCAGCGGUUAGGCCGGGAACUCAAAGGAGACUGCCAGUGAUAAACUGGAGGAAGGUGGGGAUGACGUCAAGUCAUCAUGGCCCUUACGAGUAGGGCUACACACGUGCUACAAUGGCGCAUACAAAGAGAAGCGACCUCGCGAGAGCAAGCGGACCUCAUAAAGUGCGUCGUAGUCCGGAUUGGAGUCUGCAACUUCGACUCCAUGAAGUCGGAAUCGCUAGUAAUCGUAGAUCAGAAUGCUACGGUGAAUA